rnacentral:tRNA from 1 species
GCCCGUUUGGCUUAGCGGUAAAGCGCAUCACUAGUAAUGAUGAGAUCCUAGGUUCGAUUCCUAGAAUGGGCA